GCAUAUACAUGCAAGUUGAACGAGAUAAGUUGUAGCAAUACGGCUUUGAAAGUGGCGCACGGGUGCGUAACACGUAUGCAACCUACCUUUUACCGGGGAAUAGCCUCUCGAAAGAGAGAUUAAUACCCCAUAAUAUAUUUGUUAGGCAUCUAAUAGAUAUUAAAGUUCAGGCGGUAAAAGAUGGGCAUGCGGUUGAUUAGUUAGUUGGUGAGGUAAUGGCUCACCAAGACUUCGAUCAAUAGGGGGUCUGAGAGGAUGUCCCCCCACACUGGUACUGAGACAGGACCAGACUCNUACGGGAGGCAGCAGUAGGGAAUAUUGGACAAUGGGCGCAAGCCUGAUCCAGCCAUGCCGCGUGCAGGAUGAAGGCCCUAUGGGUCGUAAACUGCUUUUGUACGGGAAGAAAUGUCACUACGUGUAGUGAUUUGACGGUACCGUGAGAAUAAGGAUCGGCUAACUUCGUGCCAGCAGCCGCGGUAAUACGAAGGAUCCAAGCGUUGUCCGGAUUUACUGGGUUUAAAGGGUGCGUAGGCGGACUUUUAAGUCAGUGGUGAAAGCCUGUAGCUUACUAUAGAAUUGCCAUUGAAACUGAAAGUCUCGAGUGUGGUUGAGGUACUGGAAUAUAUCAUGUAGCGGUGAAUGCUUAGAUAUGAUAUAGAACACCAUUGCG
rnacentral:rRNA from 1 species